rnacentral:rRNA from 1 species
UACGUAGGGUGCAAGCGUUGUCCGGAAUUAUUGGGCGUAAAGAGCUCGUAGGCGGUUCGUCGCGUCGGCUGUGAAAUCCCGAGGCUCAACCUCGGGUCUGCAGUCGAUACGGGCGGACUGGAGUUCGGCAGGGGAGACUGGAAUUCCUGGUGUAGCGGUGAAAUGCGCAGAUAUCAGGAGGAACACCGAUGGCGAAGGCAGGUCUCUGGGCCACUACUGACGCUGAGAAGCGAAAGCAUGGGGAGCGAACAGG